AAAACACAAUUCUACAAAAGUGUUCAGUCUUUCUCAUAAUAUAAGUGACUUCUGUGAAAUUGAGACCAUUUUACCAAUCGCACUAAGACCUUUAGAAUGAUACCAAACAUGAAAGGGAAAACUUCAACAUAUUCACAAAAUGUAGCACAUGUAAUAUAUGGACAUUCUUAGUGACUUUCAGUGGAACCUUUUGGGGGAAAAGUGUGAGAUGCAGGAAGGGAGAGGAGAGGGAGGAAGGAGGUUGUAAAUGAGCAAUAGGGGUGGUGUUGUUUGCCCUCUUUGAAGAUCUCUUCUCCAGAUUAGUUUUAUUGUUUUGUUGCAUGGCAUCUGUUUUUGUCGGGGUUCCUGGACUUUGAAUUCAUGAGGAAAUAAUUUCACAUCUUACAAAGGUUAUAAAGCUCUGGCUUCAGCUCUGAGAUCAAACCCUUCACACCUGAUAGAGCUGGAUCUCACAGGAAAUGAUCCUGGACAAUCAGGAGUGAAGGAGCUCAGUGAUUUACUACAGAAUCCAAACUGUCAACUCAAGACACUGAGGUUUUUGGGUCCUGCUGCAGAUGAAGCCUGUCAGUAUGUGACUGGAAUUGUGGGUAAAAACCCGUUACUCCUGAGAGAGCUGAAUCUGAGUGAACGUGAACUAGGAGACACAGGAGUGAAUCAGAUCUCUGCUCUACUGCAGGAUAAACACUGUCAACUCAACACACUGAUGCUGCGUGAUUGCGGUCUAACAGAGGACAACUGUUCAUGUCUCGCUACAGUCCUGAGAUCAAACUCCAGUCUGAAAGAA